UGGGGAAUAUUGGACAAUGGGCGCAAGCCUGAUCCAGCCAUGCCGCGUGAGUGAUGAAGGCCCUAGGGUUGUAAAGCUCUUUUGUCCGGGACGAUAAUGACGGUACCGGAAGAAUAAGCCCGCUAGCUUCGUGCCAGCAGCCGCGGUAAUACGAAGGGGCGUAGCGUUGCUCGGAAUCACUGGGCGUAAAGGGCGCGUAGGCGGACGUUUAAGUCAGGGGUGAAAUCCCGGGGCUCAACCUCGGAAUUGCCUUUGAUACUGGAUGUCUCGAGACCGGAAGAGGUAAGUGGAACUGCGAGUGUAGAGGUGAAAUUCGUAGAUAUUCGCAAGAACACCAGUGGCGAAGGCGGCUUUACUUGGUUCCGGUUCUGACGCUGAGGCGCGAAAGCGUGGGGAGCAAAACA
rnacentral:rRNA from 1 species